rnacentral:rRNA from 1 species
CGCCUGUUUUUCAAAAACAUAGCCUUAGGAGAAUUGAUCUAAGGUUAAACCUGCCCAAUGUGCAACUUAUGAAAAUAAAUUAUCAACGGCCGCGGUACUUUGACCGUGCUAAGGUAGCGCAAUUAAUUGGCUUUUAAAUGGAGUCAGGUAUGAAUGGAAUCACGGAGUUUAACUGUCUUUAAACUAUUUUAUAGAAAUUACUUUAUAGGUGAAAAAGCCUAUUCUUAGAUAAAGGACGAGAAGACCCUUAGAGUUUUGUUUAAUGUAAACUACUUGUUUAUAACAAUUUAGUUGGGGCAACAUAAGAACAGAUAAAUGUAACUUCUUGCAAAUCUACUUAUCGAUUUUUAUAAGCAUGAAUAAACUACCUUAGGGAUAACAGCAUAAUUUAAUAUAUAAGUUUGUGACCUCGAUGUUGGACUAGGAAACUAACAGGCUAGCCGCUUUUUAGAAAGGUUCUGUUCGAACUAAAAAUCCUACGUG